rnacentral:rRNA from 1 species
UGAGGAAUAUUGCACAAUGGGCGCAAGCCUGAUGCAGCGACGCCGCGUGUGGGAUGAAGGGGCUACGCCUCGUAAACCACUGUAGCCCGGGACGAAAAACGCCUUAGAGGCGUUAGACGGUACCGGGAAAGUAAGGGUCGGCUAACUACGUGCCAGCAGCCGCGGUAAUACGUAGGACCCAAGCGUUGUCCGGAUUUACUGGGUGUAAAGGGUGCGUAGGCGGAUAUGUAAGUCAGUGGUGAAAUCAACGGGCUCAACCUGUUAACUGCCAUUGAUACUGCGUAUCUUGAAUAUGAGAGAGGUAGGCGGAAUGUUGCAUGUAGCGGUGAAAUGCUUAGAUAUGCUACGGAACACCGAUUGCGAAGGCAGCUUACUAUUUCGUAAUUGACGCUGAGGCACGAAAGCGUGGGUAGCGAACA